CUACGGGCCGCACCAGUGGGGAAUAUUGCACAAUGGAGGAAACUCUGAUGCAGCAACGCCGCGUGGAGGAUGACACUUUUCGGAGCGUAAACUCCUUUUAUAUAGGAAGAAGAUGACGGUACUAUAUGAAUAAGCACCGGCUAACUCCGUGCCAGCAGCCGCGGUAAUACGGAGGGUGCAAGCGUUACUCGGAAUCACUGGGCGUAAGGGACGCGUAGGCGGGUUGGAAAGUCAGGUGUGAAAUCCUACAGCUUAACUGUAGAACUGCACUUGAAACUUCUAAUCUAGAGUAUGGGAGGGGGAGAUGGAAUUAGUGGUGUAGGGGUAAAAUCCGUAGAGAUCAGAAGGAAUACCGAUUGCGAAGGCGAUCUACUAGAACAUUAUUGACGCUGAGACGCGAAAGCGUGGGGAGCAAACAGGAUUAGAUACCCCAGUAGUC
rnacentral:rRNA from 1 species